rnacentral:tRNA from 1 species
GUCAAGAUGGCCGAGACCAGGCACCGAGCUUUUAACUCGGCAACAGUUAACAAAACUUCAUGACA